AGUGAACGCUGGCGGUAGGCCUAACACAUGCAAGUCGAACGGCAGCACAGUAAGAGCUUGCUCUUACGGGUGGCGAGUGGCGGACGGGUGAGGAAUACAUCGGAAUCUACUUUUUCGUGGGGAUAACGUAGGGAAACUUACGCUAAUACCGCAUACGACCUACGGGUGAAAGCAGGGGAUCUUCGGACCUUGCGCGAUUGAAUGAGCCGAUGUCGGAUUAGCUAGUUGGCGGGGUAAAGGCCCACCAAGGCGACGAUCCGUAGCUGGUCUGAGAGGAUGAUCAGCCACGCUGGAACUGAGACACGGUCCAGACUCCUACGGGAGGCAGCAGUGGGGAAUAUUGGACAAUGGGCGCAAGCCUGAUCCAGCCAUACCGCGUGGGUGAAGAAGGCCUUCGGGUUGUAAAGCCCUUUUGUUGGGAAAGAAAAGCAGCAGGUUAAUACCCCGCUGUUCUGACGGUACCCAAAGAAUAAGCACCGGCUAACUUCGUG
rnacentral:rRNA from 1 species